rnacentral:rRNA from 1 species
GAUAAGUAAUGUGANUUGCAGAAUUCAGUGAAUCAUCGAAUCUUUGAACGCACCUUGCGCUCCUUGGUAUUCCGAGGAGCAUGCCUGUUUGAGUGUCAU